rnacentral:ncRNA from 1 species
ACUAUGACUCUCUUAUACCAAAGAGCCACCACUGCCUUUGGAGGGUCACAAUAGCGGCGCGAAAGCGAAUGAUAUAACCGCUAGUGCGUCCGUCGCCAGCCCCCCUGUUUGUGGAUCACAUAAUGCUGUGGACGGACACGCGACACCAUCAAAUUGCGGGGACACCCUGAGAGCCUUGUCUACCAAGUCGCCUGCGGAAACGCACUGGCGAUGGCCGAGUUAAUCGCCCUGGGUACGGUAACAACGACAAGGAUGCAUGGGCAAUCCGCAGCCAAGUCCUACGUCGGACCGCGCACGUUCGAUAUGGAUGCUGUUCAUCGACUAAAUGGUGGUGGGUGAUCGCGCGCGUAUGCGAUUGCUUAAGAUAUAGUCAGGCCCUGGCGAGAGCCAGCUGCAUGUAUAAGAGGGGGACGCCGGGGGGACGUUCGACUCGAAGCUUGCAGGAGGGCGCUGUUUACUUGUCGUAGCAGCGUCUUUGGAAGGCGCUUCAGUAUUUAGGAAUGAAGCCGUCAGUUAAGCGCCAGAAUAAAAGAUGUUGGGGUCGUUGAACAUGUCAGUUGGCAGAAUGUGGUCCAACUCAUCGUCUCCUAAGGUCGAAGGACAUGUUCCGAUGUCGUCGUCCUGAAUGGGAUUGCCGAUUACAGUACCGUUGAGCGCAUUGUUCAGGAUAUCAGUGGCUUUGUUGCCGAUGUUGUUCUUGAUCAUCCGCACGCCACGUCCUGCACGAAUGCAUCGUGGUUUGUGGACGCGCACGUAGCUUUGCCCAGGCAGAAGUUGCGGCUCUUGUUAACGUCGAGUGAUUCGUACACGAUGUGGACGAGGCGAACACAACAACGGUCGUGAUGGCAUAGAUGAGGUGAGGCUACUGGAUGAUCGAACAGGAUCAGUUGGGACGCCAGAGUUAACAUACUGCUGGAGUACUAACGGCACGUUCGUCGCCAUGACUCUGACCCGCUGUGAUAGACCAAGCAGUUUAGUGAUAUCGAACUGUGGGCGACCAUUGCUGUUGUUGGAGAAACCCACUAUGGGAUUAUCCACAUAGAGGCAUUCGAUUGCUAAAUAAGUGGUGGGCUCACCAGAAGAGGAUAUGCUCUCUGGGACCCAGUAGUGCUUGGUCACAGCACUUUGGAGCCUCGCUGUAAACGUCCGCCAAGUAUAGUUCGCCUGGCGACGACGACGUUGCACGAGGUCCGACAUACAAACGCACCCAACGCAGCGCUUUCUGACGACGGACUCCGCGACACUGAUCCAACGCGCACACACACUG